CUAAAGUCAGAUGGGCUCAAUUACUUUAAUUACUCAAGAACUCAGCACAAAGCGUAACAACAUGUUUCCAUUUUGCAUUCUGUCAAAACGAGCGACAACUGAAUGUACAACUCCAUCUCCGCUGUACGCAGCUUCGAUCUCGUUUCAUUCCGGUCGUUUCUCCCUUGCAGUGUUGUGUCGAUGACGAUGUAUGUAUAUCGUCUGUCCAAGGUCGCCGUUUGCUUUUUGGACGUUCACGCUUUUCGAUGGGAAAAGUUUACCUCGCUGGUGGACGCAAAUUGACUAAUUUUACGUAAC
rnacentral:misc_RNA from 1 species